CACGUAGGGCGCAAGCGUUGUCCGGAAUUAUUGGGCGUAAAGAGCUCGUAGGCGGUCUGUUGCGUCUGCUGUGAAAACUCGGGGCUUAACCCCGAGCCUGCAGUGGAUACGGGCAGACUAGAGGUAGGUAGGGGAGAAUGGAAUUCCCGGUGUAGCGGUGAAAUGCGCAGAUAUCGGGAAGAACACCCGUGGCGAAGGCGGUUCUCUGGGACGCUACUGACGCUGAGACGCGAAAGCGUGGGGAGCGAACAGG
rnacentral:rRNA from 1 species